CGAGCACGCGCGUGUGGCAUAUCAAUAAGCGGAGGAAAAGAAACUAACAAGGAUUCCCUUAGUAACGGCGAGUGAAGCGGGAAGAGCUCAAAUUUGAAAUCUUCAAGGUUCUACCUUGACGAAUUGUAGUUUAUAGAAGUGUUUUCUGUUAGUAGGAGUGGCAAAAGUUCUUUGGAAUAGGACAUCAUAGAGGGUGAGAAUCCCGUAUUUGGUCAUUCUUCUAGCGUUGUGAUACACUUUCAACGAGUCGGAUUGUUUGGGAAUGCAGUCCAAAAUGGGUGGUAAAUUUCAUCUAAAGCUAAAUAUUGGCGAGAGACCGAUAGCGAACAAGUACCGUGAGGGAAAGAUGAAAAGAACUUUGAAAAGAGAGUUAAACAGUACGUGAAAUUGUCAAAAGGGAAGCGUUUGACACCAGUGUUGUUUUUCCGAAAAUCAAUUACGAAUGUUUUAUUUUUGAGGAGUUAUGACUUCAUCGGCUUGCUUCUCUCUUUACGAAACUUUCUUAAUGCACUUUUCGGUUAACAAGUCAACAUCAAUUUCUUUUGUUGUAAAAGGGUAUGAGGAAGGUGGCUUUCUUUUCGGAGAAAGUGUUUAUAGCCUUGUACCUCUGCAAUCGGAGAGAUUGAGGUCUGCAGCGUAGAUCCUUCGGGGUUAGAUACAUUUGUGCUAAGUUAUAGCUUUCCAUAGACAACUUGUUGACUAUGUUAAGUCUUGUAGCUUACUCGCUUAUGCUAUUUUACCUACGCUUAGGAUGUUGAGCGCAUGUCUCUCUCU
rnacentral:rRNA from 1 species